UACAAGCUGCAAUGUACGUAUUGAAUUAAGUUUUAACCUCUAAAUUAUGAAUCGGGAGUUUUAUAUCGAAAUUGGAAUGUCGAGCCGUCACUGAACGGAAGACAGGAAGGUUUCUGCAAACACCCACUUGUUUAAAGUGGUGGUUUAAAACUUUUUAUUUCAAAAAUACGGCAAUUGUGGCCUGUAU
rnacentral:other from 1 species